UUUGUGGGAGGGAGAAAGGAAAAAUAAUAUUUUUUUUUUAGAAAUAGAUAGCAUGCUAUUUGUUUCGAUUAUUUCAUUUAAAAAUAAAUCUAGCUGAAAAUAUAAAUCAACUAAAAUUCGAAUUUGAAACCUCAAGUAUCAACCAUCAAUCUCUUUUUUAUUUAUGUUAGAGACCGUCGGUGGAAAAGGAAAAAGCCAGGGAAUAAAAUAAUUCAUCUCUAUUUGGAUUAAAACUCAAGGGUAGG
rnacentral:lncRNA from 1 species